ensembl:snRNA U1 U1 spliceosomal RNA
AUACUAACCUGGCAAGAGAGAUACCGUGAUCAAGAAGGCGGUUCACCCAGGGCAAGGCUCAGCCAUUGCACUCAGGCUGUACUGACCCCUCCAAAGUUCCUAAAUGUGGAAAUCUCGAUUGCAUAAUUUCUGGACUGUGUUCGGGCUCCCCUGUU